UGCAAAUAGAAUAAGCAUCCGUUAGUAGCCUUGGGACCAUUGCAUGUUAUCAUCAAUUGUAUUGGUUGGUUGGCUUGAUUACUAUCUGUUUCAGAGAGUAUCCGGAUGAUAGAUAAAUGGUUUUCGAAAGACGUAUCUCCAGCUAUAGAAGGGUAGAUAGUGUCUUUUAUGCUAUGCUUCCCGUCAAAAUGAUAUAGUUGGUCAUGAUUCUUACGACAUUA
rnacentral:snoRNA from 1 species